rnacentral:lncRNA from 1 species
UUGGGAUAAAGAUUGGGAGGGUGCCGAGAAGCGUUUUGAGAAGGACGCUGCUACAAUAGCGGAGCUGCAGAAGAUCGGGGAAGAGGAGAUGGCUGCUAGAGAAAAGGCCGAAAGGGACCUUAGCUUCGCCAGAGAACGCCUUAUUAAUAUUGGCAAGAUGGCAGUGGAGUGCAGCGCGAUACUUGACUAGCGUACAGAUGAGGUCUAUACAAAGUACAAGGAGGCGUUACAGGAGUUCGGACUUUGGCCGAAAGACUUCGCUCCAGGUGUUGAUUCGUGCGAAGACUUAUACUACUGGCUUUUAGAUGAGUUCAAGGCUUUACCGGAG